rnacentral:rRNA from 1 species
AAUUUAAUUUUUAUUUUAGAAAUUUAGAAAAUUUUAAAUAUUUUAAAAUUAAAAGUAUGAGUGUAAUAUAAUUAUUAAAUUUUGUUAAUAAAAAUAUUUUUUAUUUAGUUUUAGUAGUAAUAAAAUUGAAAAAAUAAGUUUUAUUUUAUAGAUAAUAGUAAAGAGAUUGAAAGUUGAAAUAUUAUUGAAAAAAUGAAUUUUGGAAAAGAAUAAUUAAAUUUUUGUUCCUUGUGUAUCAGGAUUAAUUAAAUUUUAAAUUUAAAAUAUAAAUUAUUUAUAAUUUAAUGAAAAUUAAAAAUUUUUAUAAUUUAUUGUAUAAAAAAUAUUAAAAAAAAAUUUUUAAAAAUUAAAAGUUAAUUGUUCUUAAAGUUAUAUAGUUUUUAAAGAAAUAAGUUUAAUUUGGAAAUAAAUUUUUAUUAUUUUUAUAUUUUUAAUAUAUCAAUAAUUUUAGUUUAUUUUAAUAUUUUAAGGGUUGAGCUUUAAAAUAAAUUGUUAUAAAUAGAAUAUUAAUAGAUUUAAAUUUUAAUAAAAGUUAAAAUAAAAAUAAUCUUAAAAAUAGAUAAUUUUAAAUAAAAUGUUUCAAUUAAUUUUUUUUUUAUAAAUUAUUUAUUAUUAAAAUUUUAAUUUUUUUAUUUAAAAAAAUAUUGAAAUAAUAUAUGUAUUAUAAUAAUAAUUAAAUUAGUAGAUUUUAAAUAUAAAUAAUAAUUAUUUAUUUAUGUAAAUUUUAAUAUAAUAAAUUCAGCAAUAUUAUUUUUAUAUGUUUAACAAAAACAUUGUUUUUUAAAAUUUUUAAAAAAUAGAGCCUGCACACUGAGUUUAAAUAUUUAAAGAGCCGCGGUAUUUUGACCGUGCAAAGGUAGCAUAAUCAUUAGUUUUUUAAUUGAAGACUGGAAUGAAAGGUUUAAUAAAAAAUAAUCUUUAUUAUAUUAAUAAUUAUUGAAUUUGUUGUUUUAGUAAAAAAACUAAAAUUUUAAUAAAAGACGAUAAGACCCUAUAAAGCUUUAUAUAAUAGUUAUUAAAAAUUAUUUAGGAUAAUAAAAUUUUUAAUUUAUUUAUUUAUUGAAUUGGGGUGAUUUAAAGAUUUAAAAAACUCUUUAUAGUAAAAAACAAUGAUAAUUGUUUAUUUUGAUCUUUAUUUUAUUUUGAUUAAAAAAUUAAGUUACUUUAGGGAUAACAGCGUAAUUUUUUUAGAGAGUUCAAAUCGAUAAAAAAGUUUGCGACCUCGAUGUUGGAUUAAGAUAAUUAUAUGGGUGUAGAAGUUUUUAUAUUUAGUCUGUUCGACUAUGAAUUCUUACAUGAUCUGAGUUCAAACCGGUUUAAGCCAGGUUGGUUUCUAUCUUUAUUUGUUUAUAUUAUAUUAUAGUACGAAAGGACCUAAUAUAAAAAUUUAAAUUUUUUUAUUAUGAAAUAAAUUAAUAUAUAAU